rnacentral:rRNA from 1 species
AUUGAACGCUGGCGGCACGCCUAACACAUGCAAGUCGAACGAGUGGCGGACGGGUGAGUAAUGUCUGGGAAACUGCCUGAUGGAGGGGGAUAACUACUGGAAACGGUAGCUAAUACCGCAUACCAUCGGAUGUGCCCAGAGGGGAGUAGCUAGUAGGUGGGGUAAAGGCUCACCUAGGCGACGAUCCCUAGCUGGUCUGAGAGGAUGACCGACCACACUGGAACGGAGACACGGUCCAGACUCCUACGGGAGGCAGCAGUGGGGAAUAGUGCACAAUGGGCGCAAGCCUGAUGCAGCCAGGCCGCGUGUAUGAAGAAGGCCUUCGGGUUGUAAAGUACUUUCAGCGGGGAGGCGUUACCCGCAGAAGAAGCACCGGCUAACUCCGUGCCAGCAGCCGCGGUAAUAC